UCUGAGAUGAGGUAAGACAUGAGAGGAUGUAGAUUUGUAUGCAAGUUCAGAAAUAUAAUACCCUAAACUCAACUACAAAGACGAUAGAACAGUUGCAGUUGGCUUCUUAAUUACACAGAUGCCAAAAUAUAUACCCACCGAGGGGUCAGGGUCUAUAACCAAAAAGAAAAUAGACCUAGUGACUGAACACCAGAAAUAUCAACUAGUAGUAAAAUUGGCUCCAGUACGCAUGCUUGAUGCCAAUCUUAUACAAGAAUUGCAAAGCAUUUCUGAAUUGAUACUUUCUCAGUAUUCAUCUUGGGGUUUCUACCAUUAUAAAUCACUCAUCAAAUAAUCAAGAAAAAUCAUCAAAUAUUAAUCAGGUUUGACUGGUAAAAGAUGCAAACUGCAAAAGAUAUGUAGUCAAGGAAGCAUUACUUACAACAACAUCGAAGCCAAAGAUGGUAAGAUCAAGUUUUCUAGCAAGCCAAUUUGCAGCAUCUGUGACUAGCUCAAGAUCAAAAGAAUUAACAUUGGUCUUGAUGGAAUCUGCACCUGUAGAGUGCCCAGUGCUGGUGGGUAGAGAUUUUAAGCUGCAGAGGGUAAGCACAAGAUUAUCAAAACUGAAACAUAAGACAUUACAUUACCAUAACUCAAGAAAACAGAAAGCAAACAAAGAAACUAAAUGCUACCUGUCGAAGAGUAAAGGUCUGAGUUCAUUUCUUUCAGAUGAUUUGGUCAAGACAUCUGCAUUUGGUAUAGAUUUCUUUACUGCAUAGAAAACUUGCUCACCCAAGACAUAAAUCUUGAAUAUAGUAGAUGAAUGGUCCACGUACUCCUGCAAUGGCAAACAAACCGUUCAGAUCCAGGAGAACAGAAAACAUGAAACUCAGCUGUCAAAAAGACCCUUUAGAAGGCUCAACCACUUGGCAACUCCUCUGACCAAGGGCUUUGAAAUAUAUUUCAGUCAUGUUAAAUUACAUUUAGCUUACUGGAAGGAUGAUGUAAAACUAUGCUGUAUCUAUGUCAAAUACAAGCACUAAUCAUUGUUCUA